rnacentral:sRNA from 1 species
CGUACCCCCUCCAGAGAUCGUAUCACCACCCUUCUUUACACGCACCUGAUCUUCUUCCUCGGCGAGGCAACCCGCCGACGGGACGUUCGCAAACCCUUUUUUUUAUACGAGCAGUACCGUUCCGAUGAAAAAUACAAUCGUUACAAUCUUCAACAAUGGAUCUCUUGGCUCUGGCAUCGAUGAAGAACGCAGCGAAAUGCGAUAAGUAGUGUGAAUUGCAGAAUCCAGUGAAUCAUCGAAUCUUUGAACGCACAUUGCGCCCCUCGGUAUUCCGUGGGGCAUGCCUGUUCGAGCGUCAUUUCAAGGCUCAAGCUCUGCUUGGUGUUGGGCGUCUGUCCGCGCACUUCCGCGCCAGGACUCGCCCCAAAGUCAUUGGCAGCCCAGGCCGUCCGACCCGUCCGCAGCACAAUGCGUCGGCGGGUUCGAAGGCGGCCUCCGCGUCCAGCAAGCUCCUCUUCUCAGCGGCGAGUGAAGCGGCAACAGCUCAAAUUUGAAAUCUGGCCUCCUUUGGGGGUCCGAGUUGUAAUUUGCAGAGGGUGCUUUGGCAUCGGCGGCGGUCUAAGUUCCUUGGAACAGGACAUCGCAGAGGGUGAGAAUCCCGUACGUGGGCGCCUGCCUUUGCCGUGUAAAGCCCCUUCGACGAGUCGAGUUGUUUGGGAAUGCAGCUCUAAAUGGGAGGUAAAUUUCUUCUAAAGCUAAAUACCGGCCAGAGACCGAUAGCGCACAAGUAGAGUGAUCGAAAGAUGAAAAGUACUUUGGAAAGAGAGUAAAAUAGCACGUGAAAUUGUUGUAGAGGAAGCGCUUGCAGCCAGACUUCCCCGUAGUUGCUCACCCGGGCCUCGUGCCCGGGGCACUCUUCUGCGGGGAGGCCAGCAUCAGUUUGGGCGGUCGGAGAAAGGCCUCUGUCACGUAUCUCCCUUCGGGGUGACCUUAUAGGGGAGGCGUAAUGCGACCAGCCCGGACUGAGGUCCGCGCAUCUGCCAGGAUGCUGGCGUAAUGGCUGUAAGCGGCCCGUCUUGAAACACGGACCAAGGAGUCUAACAUCUAUGCGAGUGUUUGGGUGUCAAGCCCGGGCGCGCAAUGAAAGUGAACGGAGGUGGGAACCCUUUGGGUGCACCAUCGACCGAUCCUGAAGUCUUCGGAUGGAUUUGAGUAAGAGCAUA